CAGUCCCCAUUCUAUCAUCUCACAAAAUUAGGGUUUUUCCACUCUCCGCCGCUUCCCCCCUUAAAUUUUCGUUGUUAAUUUUAUUUUUGAGUUUGAGUUAUAUUUAUUUAGAUUUAUGGCAGAUUACCUGGAACAUGCUUUCUUUAUUUUUUUUCCAUAAUUUUACAUGAUUAUGGGUAGCACAAGGAUUAAUGUGAAACAAAUAAGUGAUAUGCAAAGAAGAUGGAGAUUCAAUUGUUUAUUGUUACGAAGAAAACACUUUUGUGUUUCUCGUGAAUCCUUCGGCUAUCCAUAAUCAUGUUGAAUGUGUGACUUGAAAUUUUCUUGUCUUAGUAAAUAAAAAAAUAAAGCAUGGUUUGAGGAUUCAGUAAUUUUGACAGGUUGAUGUUCCAACUAGAGGGGAAAGAAGACACUCAGAAGAUAUAUAAUAACAUUUGAGUAUUGCUAAUGUUAAUAUACAUUAUGUAUUGUGUUUUUGUGUUAUUCUGUAUGUAGCGUUUUCUUGGCGCAAUUGAUAAUGGUUGACAAUAAUAAAAUGAUCUUUUUUUUAUAUA